GACGAACGCUGGCGGCGUGCUUAACACAUGCAAGUCGAACGGAAAGGCCCUGCUUUUGUGGGGUGCUCGAGUGGCGAACGGGUGAGUAACACGUGAGUAACCUGCCCUUGACUUUGGGAUAACUUCAGGAAACUGGGGCUAAUACCGGAUAGGAGCUCCUGCUGCAUGGUGGGGGUUGGAAAGUUUCGGCGGUUGGGGAUGGACUCGCGGCUUAUCAGCUUGUUGGUGGGGUAGUGGCUUACCAAGGCUUUGACGGGUAGCCGGCCUGAGAGGGUGACCGGCCACAUUGGGACUGAGGUACGGCCCAGACUCCUAUGGGAGGCAGCAGUGGGGAAUAUUGCACAAUGGGCGGAAGCCUGAUGCAGCAACGCCGCGUGCGGGAUGACGGCCUUCGGGUUGUAAACCGCUUUCGCCUGUGACGAAGCGUGAGUGACGGUAAUGGGUAAAGAAGCACCGGCUAACUACGUGCCAGCAGCCGCGGUGAUACGUAGGGUGCGAGCGUUGUCCGGAUUUAUUGGGCGUAAAGGGCUCGUAGGUGGUUGAUCGCGUCGGAAGUGUAAUCUUGGGGCUUAACCCUGAGCGUGCUUUCGAUACGGGUUGACUUGAGGAAGGUAGGGGAGAAUGGAAUUCCUGGUGGAGCGGUGGAAUGCGCAGAUAUCAGGAGGAACACCAGUGGCGAAGGCGGUUCUCUGAGCCUUUCCUGACGCUGAGGAGCGAAAGCGUGGGGAGCGAACAGGCUUAGAUACCCUGGUAGUCCACGCUGUAAACGGUGGGUACUAGGUGUGGGGUCCAUUCCACGGGUUCCGUGCCGUAGCUAACGCUUUAAGUACCCCGCCUGGGGAGUACGGCCGCAAGGCUAAAACUCAAAGGAAUUGACGGGGCCCCGCACAAGCGGCGGAGCAUGCGGAUUAAUUCGAUGCAACGCGUAGAACCUUACCUGGGUUUGACAUGGAUCGGGAGUGCUCAGAGAUGGGUGUGCCUCUUUUGGGGUCGGUUCACAGGUGGUGCAUGGCUGUCGUCAGCUCGUGUCGUGAGAUGUUGGGUUAAGUCCCGCAACGAGCGCAACCCUUGUUCACUGUUGCCAGCACGUUAUGGUGGGGACUCAGUGGAGACCGCCGGGGUCAACUCGGAGGAAGGUGGGGAUGACGUCAAGUCAUCAUGCCCCUUAUGUCCAGGGCUUCACGCAUGCUACAAUGGCUGGUACAGAGAGUGGCGAGCCUGUGAGGGUGAGCGAAUCUCGGAAAGCCGGUCUCAGUUCGGAUUGGGGUCUGCAACUCGACCUCAUGAAGUCGGGGUCGCUAGUAAUCGCAGAUCAGCAACGCUGCGGUGAAUACGUUCCCGGGGCU
rnacentral:rRNA from 1 species